AUUGAACGCUGGCGGCAUGCCUUACACAUGCAAGUCGAACGGCAGCACGGGGGCAACCCUGGUGGCGAGUGGCGAACGGGUGAGUAAUGCAUCGGAACGUACCCGGAAGUGGGGGAUAACGUAGCGAAAGUUACGCUAAUACCGCAUAUUCUGUGAGCAGGAAAGAGGGGGAUCGCAAGACCUCUUGCUUUCGGAGCGGCCGAUGUCGGAUUAGCUAGUUGGGGGGGUAAAGGCCUACCAAGGCGACAAUCCGUAGCGGGUCUGAGAGGAUGAUCCGCCACACUGGGACUGAGACACGGCCCAGACUCCGAUGGGAGGCAGCAGUGGGGAAUUUUGGACAAUGGGGGCAACCCUGAUCCAGCCAUGCCGCGUGAGUGAAGAAGGCCUUCGGGUUGUAAAGCUCUUUCGGCCGGGACGAAAUAGCAUCUCCUAAUACGGGGUGUGGAUGACGGUACCGGAAUAAGAAGCACCGGCUAACUACGUGCCAGCAGCCGCCGUAACAC
rnacentral:rRNA from 1 species